AUGAACGCUUGCGGCGUGCCUAAUACAUGCAAGUCGCGCGAACAGACGAGGAGCUUGCUCCUCUGACGUUAGCGGCGGACGGGUGAGUAACACGUGGAUAACCUACCUAUAAGACUGGGAUAACUUCGGGAAACCGGAGCUAAUACCGGAUAAUAUAUUGAACCGCAUGGUUCAAUAGUGAAAGACGGUUUUGCUGUCACUUAUAGAUGGAUCCGCGCCGCAUUAGCUAGUUGGUAAGGUAACGGCUUACCAAGGCAACGAUGCGUAGCCGACCUGAGAGGGUGAUCGGCCACACUGGAACUGAGACACGGUCCAGACUCCUACGGGAGGCAGCAGUAGGGAAUCUUCCGCAAUGGGCGAAAGCCUGACGGAGCAACGCCGCGUGAGUGAUGAAGGUCUUCGGAUCGUAAAACUCUGUUAUUAGGGAAGAACAAAUGUGUAAGUAACUAUGCACGUCUUGACGGUACCUAAUCAGAAAGCCACGGCUAACUACGUG
rnacentral:rRNA from 1 species